rnacentral:misc_RNA from 1 species
CCUAAGAGAUACGUGUUAUGUGCGGUGCUCACACAGAUUGUCUGAUGAAGAACGAGCAAAAGCGCGUCUGCGAAGCUGACAAAAGUCCCCUUCGUCUAGAGGCCUAGGACACCGCCCUUUCACGGCGGUAACAGGGGUUCGAAUCCCCUAGGGGACGCCAAUGCGCGGUAUGAGUGAAAGGCGUACCACUUAUCUGACGAGAGUCAGAGAAUAACUAAGCUAAUUCAAACGAGUUAUCUUACUUAUUAUGCUCUUUAACAAUCUGGAACAAGCUGAAAAAUUGAAAACAAAUCAAUAUAUCAACGAGGUAUAUUGGUGAGUCUCUCAAAAUCUCAAACCUUAAAGUUUGUCACACAAAGUUUAUCUUUGAAAAAGACACUUUCGGGUUGUGA